rnacentral:rRNA from 1 species
ACUCCUACGGGAGGCAGCAGUGGGGAAUAUUGCACAAUGGGCGCAAGCCUGAUGCAGCCAUGCCGCGUGUAUGAAGAAGGCCUUCGGGUUGUAAAGUACUUUCAGCAGUGAGGAAGGUGGGAGUUCAGUUAAGUAGCGCAUUCAUUUGACGUUAGCUGCAGAAGAAGCACCGGCUAACUCCGUGCCAGCAGCCGCGGUAAUACGGAGGGUGCGAGCGUUAAUCGGAAUUACUGGGCGUAAAGCGCAUGCAGGUGGUUUGUUAAGUCAGAUGUGAAAGCCCGGGGCUCAACCUCGGAAU